AAGGAAUUUUCCCCAAUGGGCGCAAGCCUGAGGGAGCAACGCCGCGUGGAGGACGACGGCCUUCGGGUUGUAAACUCCUUUCGGGUGGGACGAUGCUGACGGUACCACCAGAAGCAGCCCCGGCUAACUCUGUGCCAGCAGCCGCGGUAAGACAGAGGGGGCAAGCGUUGUCCGGAGUUACUGGGCGUAAAGGGCGCGCAGGCGGUGGGCUGCGUCGGCGCUGAAAGCGCCCCGCUUAACGGGGCGAG
rnacentral:rRNA from 1 species